GGCAAAACUUGAUGUACUGACAAAGUCUAAAAGUUAAAAACCCACAGUAGAGUUGAAACAGGGGGGACAGAAUAAACCAGUGGAAAUAAGACAAGGGAAAGGAAAAGAAACCACAAGCAAAUGAACAGACAAGGAUACACUGACAAUUUUACACUGACACUCAUUAAAGCCUAGUGACAAUUUGAUUCUUACAGUGUGAGCACUCAGGUUGUGCCCACAGUCGUACCGUACAGUGUGAGAACAUGACCUGUAAGCUUUUGUUAUUUUCAUGUGUUGUUUACAGUCUAUUUGUACAGAGUGAGUUUGCCUUUUACCCUGACUUAAAAAAAAAAAACACACACACACAUUGGACAAAUCCCUUCAUUAUGAACAGAGACUACGGCAGCCUGGUAAUAAGACACCCAUUCCUCAGUAGCAGGUCUGUAUUUGAUUUACCACAGAACAAAAGAUGUGACCUACGGGAGGACAUGUUUGUCUGCAGAGUGUCACUGACUCAUCAGCUUAAAUUCAACUCCCGGAGUUUCUUCCAUUAGUCUGUCUUACCUCACUGAUUUCGCUCUAAUGAGAGACUUGUGUGUCUGAAAUUACAUGAACCGAUCCUUCCAUGAGAUUCGUUCUCAGCAAUCAGCCACAAAAAGUGUAUUUGCACAACCUGCAAUUUGACACAAUUACUCAGGCCAAAAGGGUGAAGCGGUUGGUGUUCGUAUGUGUUGUAAUGCUGGCCAGAGGCUUUCAAACUUGUUUUCUUCCAGGCAAUCUAUCCGUUGUCUUUGUGUGUCCAGGUCCUCCUCCUGUGAUCGCCAGUGCUGGGCUCCUGGCCUCAUUACUGACUGCAAAAAGAGAGGGGAGAAAAAGACUGACAGGAGAGAUUUAAAAGGAGCAAGACUGGUUUUAAUGUGAAGGUCCAAUUUUCUUUAAACUUCACAUGAAAAAAAAAAACCUGAGUAAAAAUUGAAAGUGUAAGAAAGGUGCAGUAUAUCAUCACCUGGAGGCAAUGAGUGCUUGUUAGGAAGGAACGAACAACACAUGGAUGCAGUGUUAGCGAGUAACCCUUUGAGAAAUAUCAGCGUAUCAGUGUAUUAAAUAGAUUUUCAGAAUCUUACUGUGUUGGGUGAAAUUACCCAUAAAAGUAACUCCUUGAGGUUUAACAUUACUGCGACUGAAUAGUAACCUACUACAUUCCUGCGUCACUUAAAGGUAAAGCUUUCGAGAACACUUGCAUUACAAAAAGUGAAAAUCCCUUAAACUCCCAAUCUGUUGCAUAUAUGCAAAAAGAAAAGUCUCCCCUGGCAGCUGGUGCAUGUGUUUUUCGUUCGUGCAGCUCUCCAGAAGGGGGAGCACUGCACAUAAUGUAAAGAAGCGUCUUUGUGUCGUCUUUUUCCUUACCUUUCCUCGAAGCUUGACUAAGAGCUGAUGCUGUUUUAGAGCUGUAAGCUUCGCAGUCAUCUUUAUCCUCUUCACUUGGGAUUCACACCUGCAUUAAGCAGCUUGGAUUAUUCACACCUAACAGGCUUUUGUCCUCCAGGCAUAGCUGAAAUUUCACUGUGAUGUUGCUUUUGUCUCUUUAACUCACACUCAUGAGAAUAUUUCCAAGAAGUAAACACUAUCAUUCGCACUCAAGCGCUAGUUAAAUUAGCUAGCUGCUAAAGCCUUAUGAUGGGAUGCAGUAUGCCUGGAGCAUACUAAUAGGAACUAGUCAUCUUGUAUUUGUCUUAAAUGAUAAUUGAACAUACUACAGACAACUUGGUUCCACCUCUCGCAAGUAUAUAUUUCCCCCACUUCCUGAAAACUACAUUGCGCAGUAGCGUUGUAUGCACUCCACCACUUGCGCGGUAGUGUCAUACGCAUUAAGCGAGAGAGUCACCAAGAGUCACUGUGAUGACGCUCGGCUCAAACAAUGUAUCCUGCGGGUGAGCUACACAAUCUUCGUACGCCCAUAGGCUGUAUCAGGUGUCAAUUAUAGAAAACAUGAACCCCCUGAUAACUUUUUAAAAUGGAGCUGCACAGAAAAAAGAGGACUUGAGCACAAACUAGUCUUACUGUAACUACAUGUCAACAUCGCAAGCAGGGGGGAGGAAAAUUUAUAUUCUGUGUAAUUAAUCGCUAGAGUUUGUCCACAGGGGGGCGGGAUUUAUGACCUAUACUGCAGCCCGUCACCAGAGGG
rnacentral:lncRNA from 1 species